rnacentral:rRNA from 1 species
CCUACGAGAGGCAGCAGUGGGGGAUAUUGCACAAUGGGGGAAACCCUGAUGCAGCGACGCCGCGUGUGGGAAGACGGUCCUCUGGAUUGUAAACCACUGUCCCCAGGGACGACGAUGACGGUACCUGGGGAGGAAGCUCCGGCUAACUACGUGCCAGCAGCCGCGGUAAUACGUAGGGAGCGAGCGUUGUCCGGAAUUACUGGGUGAAAAGGGAGCGUAGGCGGGGCUGCAAGGUGGGUGUCAAAACUACGGGCUAAACUGGUAGUCGCAUCAAAGACUGCAGCUCUUGAGUGAAGGAGAGGCAGGCGGAAUUCCUAGUGUAGCGGUGAAAUGCGUAGAUAUUAGGAGGAACACCAGUGGCGAAGGCGGCCUGCUGGGCUUUUACUGACGCUGAGGCUCGAAAGUGUGGGGAGCAAACAGGAUUAGAUACCCUGGUAGUU